AUUGAACGCUGGCGGCAGGCCUAACACAUGCAAGUCGAACGAGUGGCGGACGGGUGAGUAAUGUCUGGGAAACUGCCUGAUGGAGGGGGAUAACUACUGGAAACGGUAGCUAAUACCGCAUACCAUCAGAUGUGCCCAGAUGGGAUUAGCUAGUAGGUGGGGUAAUGGCUCACCUAGGCGACGAUCCCUAGCUGGUCUGAGAGGAUGACCAGCCAAACUGGGACUUGGACACGGUCCAGACUCCUACGGGAGGCCGCAGGGGGGGAUAUUGCACAAAGGGGGCAAGCCUGGUGCAGCCAUGGCGGGGGUGAUAAGAAGGCCUUCGGGUUGUAAAGGUAUUUCAGCGGGGAAGCGUUACCCGGAGAAGAAGCACCGGCUAACUCCGUGCCAGCAGCCGCGGUAAAUC
rnacentral:rRNA from 1 species